UCCGAGCCAGCCAGAGCCUCCACGGCCUCCAGCGCUUCCCUGGUCUCCAGGACCUCCCCGGCCUCCAGCGCCUCCCUGGGGCUCCACGACCUCCCUGGCCUCCAGCACCUCCCUAGCCAACAGAGCUUCCCGUCAGUGAUGGAGAGAAGAGAGUCAGGGGUGUUGGAGAGUCCAUCCUUAACCAUGAAGGUCCCGAUCCUUGGUCAUCCGCCUGCCAGCCGCUGUCCUCCGGCCCUCCGACCCUCCAAGUCUCUCCGCUCCACACCAGGCCGAGUCUGCCCUAGGGAAAAGUCACCACCGGAAUCCCCAUUCUGCAGGCCAAGAAGCAGAGGCCCAGAGAGGUUUGAUGGCUUUCCUGAGGACAAGCAGCAAGAUGGUGGGAUUCUGAGGAUACAGAACCGGCCACAGGCUCCUUCCACUGGUCCACCCUGCCUCCUGUCAAAGGAAGGGUCCAGCCCGCCCUUGUUCUAGCCGUGUAUCAGAGUGGACAGGAGGGUGUGGGCAGAUUUCCAGUUCUCGGGAGCUUGAUCUUAGAAGGUGGUGAGAGGUGAUCUUCUGCACACAGUAAGUGUUCAAUAAAUAUUCAUUCAUUCA